GAUACAUAUCUGCAUUUUUCUGAGAUGGUAUCAAGAGGCUGCAAGCAUCCAGCAGACGCAUUUUGCUAUGUCUGCGGCCAAUUUAUCAAGACAAGAGCUAAAAAAUACUCUGUGGAAGCAUCUGCUAAGAUGUGUGAGGUCUAUAAGGCAUACUUCGGCAUGUCUGUCGGGGAUCAAGACAAACCUGGGCACCUCAUUUCACCUGCAAGCAAUGCAAAAAAACUCCGGAAGGAUGGUACAGAGGGGAAAAGAGAGCUAUGAAGUUCACUAUCCAAAGAAUUUGGUGGGACCCACUGACCACUCCAGCAACUGCUACUUCUGCAUGGUGGACCCUUCCAAACGUCGGACUGGCAAGAAUGCACCUGCUAUCACGUAUCCGGACAUUCCUUCAUCCACCGCCCCGGUGCCACACUGCCAUGAGCUCCCCAUACCCACUCCUCCGCCGGAGAGAGAGCAGCCGUCUUUAGAAAAGAGCAGCAAGUCAGAGAGCGAGGGAGACGUUGUAGAUCCAGAUUACAAUUUCAGAGGUGGAGCUCAGGAGAGAAACCCAUACUACCCCAACCAAGAAGACCUCAACGACGAUCAGAGAUCUUGGUCUCACCAAGUCCAAUGCCGAGCUUUUGACGUCUAGGCUCAAGCAGUGGUUGGGCUCUGCUUCUGCCACAAUGUGACCAAUCUGUUUGAGGCAAUCGGAAUCGCCUGUAACCAGAAUGAGUGGUGCUUCUUCAUUGACAGCUCAUCCAGGAGCCUCAAAGCCAUGCUGCUCCAUAAUUGUAACAGGUACCCGUCUCUACCCCUGGCUCACUCGGUGCACCUCAAAGAGGAUUACAACAGCAUGAAGACCUUGCUGGAUGCCUUGAAGUAUGAUGAGUAUGGCUGGGAGGUCAUCGGAAACUUCAAAAUGGUGGCAUUCCUGAUGGGUCUCCAAGGCGGUUUUCCCAAGUUUCCCUGCUAUCUUUGCCUUUGGGACAGCAGGGACACCAAGGCGCACAAUCACAGGUAGAACUGGCCACAGCGGACCGAGUUUUCUGUGGGGAGGAACAACGUCAAGUGAGAGCCACUGGUGGACCCCCGGAAGGUGCUGAUGCCACCACAUCAAAUUGGGCCUCAUGAACAAUUUGUCAGAGCUGUAGAUAAGGAGUCGGCAGCCUUGAAGUAUUCUUAACUAAGCUGCCUGAGGCAAAAGUCAAAGCCGGUGUUUUCGUCAGACCACUGAUAAAGAAGAUCCUGGAGUGCUAUGAAUUCCCCAAGAAGCUCACUAGAAAGGAGAAAACGGCUUGGAACAGCUUUGUCACAGUGGUUCGUCACUUCCUGGGCAAUCACAAGGUCGAAAACUAUGUGGAGCUGGUUGAGACUCUGGUAAAGAACUACAGCACAAUGGGCUGUAGGAUGUCCCUCAAAGUCCAUAUCCUUGAUGCUCAUCUUAAUCAAUUCAAGGAGAACAUGGGAGCGUCCUCGGAGGAGCAAGGCGAGCGCUUCCACCAGGAUAUACUGGACUUUGAAUGCCGCUACCAAGGACAGCAUAACAAGAACAUGAUGGGAGACUACAUUUGGAGGCUGAUUCGUGAAAGUGAUUUACAGUAUAAUCGUAAAUCUCGAAAAACAACUCCUAAAUCUUUUGUAUUAAUUUUUGUAUGACUUUAGUAUGAAUACAUGUAAAUUUGCAUUCA